rnacentral:lncRNA from 1 species
AGAGGAUAGAAUAUAUUUUAUGUAAUGUUUUAAUGACUCUAUAUGUUUUAAGUAUCGAGACACAUGGAGCUCAUGACCCACUAGUGUACAUACAGAGUAAGUUAAGUUUCAACAGAAAAUUUAUAGACUAGAGAGUAAAUUGAACUGACAAAGAAGAACUGAACUGAGAACAAGUUCGAUG